rnacentral:rRNA from 1 species
UACGAAGGGGGCUAGCGUUGUUCGGAUUUACUGGGCGUAAAGCGCACGUAGGCGGAUCGUUAAGUCGGGGGUGAAAGCCUGUGGCUCAACCUCGGAACUGCCUUCGAUACUGCGGGUCUCGAGUCCGGGAGAGGUGAGUGGAAUUCCUAGUGUAGAGGUGAAAUUCGUAGAUAUUAGGAAGAACACCAGUGGCGAAGGCGGCUCACUGGCCCGGUACUGACGCUGAGGCGCGAAAGCGUGGGGAGCAAACAGG